CAUGGUGGCCGGCGCAGCGGCCGCUUUGGCGUUCCUGCACCAGGAGAGCCGAGCCCGGGCUGCGGGCGUCGAGGGCCUCAGGGUCCCGGCUUCCGUCAUGAUGGAUAGUUUCUUCUUCUUCGGUUGUGAGCUCUCCGGCCACACCCGCUCCUUUACUAUCAAGGUUGAGGAAGAGGAUGAUAUGGAACACGUGCUGGCUUUGAACACACUGUGCCUUACCCAAGGGGCCAAGGACCAGUGUAACGUGGUGGAAGUCGUGGCCGGGGAUCACGACCAUUGGGAGAUUGCAGUUCCUGUGGCCAACCUCAGGUUAUCUUGCCAGCCCAUGCUCAGUCUAGAUGAUUUCCAGCUCCAACCACCGGUAACCUUCCGCCUGAAGUCCGGUUCUGGUCCUGUUCGGAUUUCUGGUCGGCAUCAGAUCGUUUGUAUAAACAACGAUCUUUCUGAAGAAGAAAGUGAGGAUGAAAGCGAAGAAGAAAUUAAGCUGUGUGGCAUCCUUCCUGCCAAAAAGCAUAGGGCCAGGCCCUAGCCCUCUGGUCGGGUGGCUGCUUGCUACGGGUGCCAUGCUCCAUAUGUUCCUGGACAAGUUCAAGAAUGGUUUUCUUGCUGAAGAGAAUAGGGGGCGGGAGGGAAGGGCUUGGGCUGGU